UACGAAGGGUGCAAGCGUUACUCGGAAUUACUGGGCGUAAAGGGCGUGUAGGUGGUUCUGUAAGUCUGGCGUGAAAUUUCUCGGCUUAACCGAGGCAGGUCGUCGGAUACUGCAGGGCUAGAGGACGGUAGAUGCGUGUGGAAUUCCGGGUGUAGUGGUGAAAUGCGUAGAGAUCCGGAGGAACACCAGUGGCGAAGGCGACACGCUGGGCCGUACCUGACACUGAUGCGCGACAGCAUGGGGAGCAAACAGG
rnacentral:rRNA from 1 species